AUGACAUGAUGUGAAUUGGAGCUAUAGAAAUACACUGAAUAGAAUUGAAUUUCCUAUGUUAUUGCAUUAUUAAAAUAUGUGGUACAAAAAGAGUAUAUGCUGUGUAUUAGGCACACAGAGGCACUACUAUAUCUGGAGGGUGCCAAAACAAUGUAUGAAAAAAAAAAACAGUUUUUAUUUUCGUAUAUAAAAGCCUUUUUGCAUGUGUAAAUUAUAAAGAUUACAGAUUACCCCGCACACACAAACCCCCUCUUGCUUCCUUGGUCCCCGCCUGAGACUGCGUGACUGAACUGGAGAGUGUUUCCAUGGAGGAGCAGUGGUGCUAAAAUGGAGUCAAAUCAAAGGAAGCUCUCAGGAGCUUAAAACAGGAAACAAAAGAGGGAGGAGAGAGAUGUUGCCUCAGUGAAAGGCAACUUUUCCCAGGAGCUAAAAGAUGGCGGGUUUCAGCUUCUGGAACACUCUGCGGCAAUCGCUAUGUCUUGUCAGCUGACCAGCUGCAAUCUACCACGUUCUCUGGGCUUGGACUGAACUGUUAAACCAGAAGUUGCUGCCUUGGACGCCCUAGCCUUUGCUACUGCAGAGCCGCAGAUCGGUUGUUUUAAUAAACGCUUUUCGAGUAA